rnacentral:tRNA from 1 species
AACCUAUUGCCUUUGGUCCCAGUAUUGCAAAUACUGGUGCGAAUAAUUUUUAUUCUAGGUUUUG